GCAAAACGCGAAGAACCUUACCAGGUCUUGACAUCCCGCUGACCGCUCUAGAGAUAGAGUUUUCCCUUCGGGGACAGCGGUGACAGGUGGUGCAUGGUUGUCGUCAGCUCGUGUCGUGAGAUGUUGGGUUAAGUCCCGCAACGAGCGCAACCCUUGAUCUUAGUUGCCAGCAUUCAGUUGGGCACUCUAAGGUGACUGCCGGUGAUAAACCGGAGGAAGGUGGGGAUGACGUCAAAUCAUCAUGCCCCUUAUGACCUGGGCUACACACGUGCUACAAUGGACGGUACAGAGGGUCGCAACCCCGCGAGGGUGAGCAAAUCCCAUAAAACCGUUCUCAGUUCGGAUUGUAGGCUGCAACUCGCCUACAUGAAGCCGGAAUCGCUAGUAAUCGUGGAUCAGCAUGCCACGGUGAAUACGUUCCCGGGUCUUGUACACACCG
rnacentral:rRNA from 1 species